rnacentral:RNase_MRP_RNA from 11 species
GGAACCGCUGCAUUCAGGGCUUCCCUAACGAGCAUGUACUUGCUCUCGAUGACCUGUUGAAAGUCCCCUGGCUCAAAGG